rnacentral:lncRNA from 1 species
AUCAGCUGGUAUAAACACUUAAACCAUGAACAGUAAAAACACACCACCACAGAUCUACACACAAAUAUGCUUAUAUGUAGAUAUGCACACUGCUGCAGGCCUGAAAAGUGAAUGACACUGUUUUAAAGCUGUCACUGUUGCAACUUGGAGCUGUCGCUGGCUGGGAAGUUGUUUUCUACUCAGAGAGAGCAGAGUGACUUCUUAUUGGAAAAACAGAGCACCAAAAUGAAACCUUUCCCUGUGUAUAGUGAGUUUUGUCUCCAUAAAGCAGUUUGCUAGAUUUGUCCUCCUGCUAGAUCUGGAAGCCAACAAUGCUGCCAGGCAUUGGACUUGGUGAUCCUUGUGUGUCCCUUCCAGCUCCUUCCAGCUCUGGAUAUUCAGUUCUCUGAUUAAAUGAUCUUUUGUUUUGAAGGGCUGACAAGUGGAACAACACAAAACCCAGAGCAAAGGUACAUGGCCACAGCUCAGAGACCAGAACACAAGAUAUUUGCUGCUCUCUGGAAGUACAACACAGAGAAAACCAGCAAGUCAUUGAGGGAGGGACUUUGUCAUGACUUGAGAGGUUGAACUGGGAGGUUUCACCAUUUCAGCCUUCUGGAGCUGUGCAAGAGCAUGUCACAAUUGACAGUGGACAGAAGAAUUACAAAAAGAAUGUAGAAUCCCAGUGGAAGUUGCCCUGGUACUGUUUCUGUUGGUGGGCACCACGUACUUGACCCUUUAGGCCUUGCCACCAGUUUUCAGCUUUCUAUUUCCUUCCUGGGACCCAACCCCAAACUUUGGCUGUCACCAGAUCCAGGUUUGUUUGUGCUGCUGAGCAGCUUUGAUCUGUGUCUGCUGCCUACUGUGAACAGCUCAGUUUGGGGAGAAACCAAGCUCAGCCGUGGUACCAGGCAGCCAAACCCCCACCAAAGGAACACGGAAAGUCUGGCAAGGUCAUGGCCAUGGCCUCAUUUCUCUUUGGAUCCAGCCCAGCAGCAGGAAAACAAUUUGCAAUGCUUGUGAAACUGUCAGCAAGUUCAAGGACAGCAGAGUUGCAGGUUGUGCUGGAAGGCCAAGAAGAUCUGCAGUCCCUGGAGGAGGAAGAAAUCCUUUCAGUGCACUGUGAAAAAUCAUCUUUCUUCAAUUUAGCCAACUCUUUAUGGUCUAACUGUCUUUUUUCUUCAUUCCCCAGACAGAGCAGCUGGUAAAGGAAUGCCUAAAUUGCCACUAGACUCUGAAGUUUGUUUUUGUCUGUAGUACAGAGACAGGAAUGCUGCAGGCACCAAUUUCACUC